rnacentral:rRNA from 1 species
UUAAGCGACUAAGCGUACACGGUGGAUGCCCUGGCAGUCAGAGGCGAUGAAGGACGUGCUAAUCUGCGAAAAGCGUCGGUAAGGUGAUAUGAACCGUUACAGCCGGCGAUGUCCGAAUGGGGAAACCCAGUGUGAUUCGUCACACUAUCGUUAACUGAAUACAUAGGUUAACGAGGCGAACCGGGGGAACUGAAACAUCUAAGUACCCCGAGGAAAAGAAAUCAACCGAGAUUCCCCCAGUAGCGGCGAGCGAACGGGGAGCAGCCCAGAGUCUGAAUCAGCUUGUGUGUUAGUGGAACGGUCUGGAAAGUCCGACGGUACAGGGUGAUAGUCCCGUACACCAAAAUGCACAGGCUGUGAACUCGAAGAGUAGGGCGGGACACGUGGUAUCCUGUCUGAAUAUGGGGGGACCAUCCUCCAAGGCUAAAUACUCCUGACUGACCGAUAGUGAACCAGUACCGUGAGGGAAAGGCGAAAAGAACCCCGGCGAGGGGAGUGAAAAAGAACCUGAAACCGUGUACGUACAAGCAGUGGGAGCACCUUCGGGUGUGACUGCGUACCUUUUGUAUAAUGGGUCAGCGACUUAUAUUCUGUAGCAAGGUUAACCGUAUAGGGGAGCCGCAGGGAAACCGAGUCUUAACUGGGCGUUAAGUUGCAGGGUAUAGACCCGAAACCCGGUGAUCUAGCCAUGGGCAGGUUGAAGGUUGGGUAACACUAACUGGAGGACCGAACCGACUAAUGUUGAAAAAUUAGCGGAUGACUUGUGGCUGGGGGUGAAAGGCCAAUCAAACCGGGAGAUAGCUGGUUCUCCCCGAAAGCUAUUUAGGUAGCGCCUCGUGAAUUCAUCUUCGGGGGUAGAGCACUGUUUCGGCUAGGGGGUCAUCCCGACUUACCAACCCGAUGCAAACUACGAAUACCGAAGAAUGUUAUCACGGGAGACACACGGCGGGUGCUAACGUCCGUCGUGAAGAGGGAAACAACCCAGACCGCCAGCUAAGGUCCCAAAGUCACAGUUAAGUGGGAAACGAUGUGGGAAGGCACAGACAGCCAGGAUGUUGGCUUAGAAGCAGCCAUCAUUUAAAGAAAGCGUAAUAGCUCACUGGUCGAGUCGGCCUGCGCGGAAGAUGUAACGGGGCUAAACUGUGCACCGAAGCUGCGGCAGCGACACUAUGUGUUGUUGGGUAGGGGAGCGUUCUGUAAGCCUGCGAAGGUGGCCUGUGAGGGUUGCUGGAGGUAUCAGAAGUGCGAAUGCUGACAUAAGUAACGAUAAUGCGGGUGAAAAGCCCGCACGCCGGAAGACCAAGGGUUCCUGUCCAACGUUAAUCGGGGCAGGGUGAGUCGACCCCUAAGGCGAGGCCGAAAGGCGUAGUCGAUGGGAAACAGGUUAAUAUUCCUGUACUUGGUGUUACUGCGAAGGGGGGACGGAGAAGGCUAUGUUAGCCGGGCGACGGUUGUCCCGGUUUAAGCAUGUAGGCGGAGGUUCCAGGUAAAUCCGGUACCUUUUUAACGCUGAGGUGUGAUGACGAGGCACUACGGUGCUGAAGUAACAAAUGCCCUGCUUCCAGGAAAAGCCUCUAAGCAUCAGGUAACAUUAAAUCGUACCCCAAACCGACACAGGUGGUCAGGUAGAGAAUACCAAGGCGCUUGAGAGAACUCGGGUGAAGGAACUAGGCAAAAUGGUGCCGUAACUUCGGGAGAAGGCACGCUGAUAUGUAGGUGAAGCCCCUGCGGGUGGAGCUGAAAUCAGUCGAAGAUACCAGCUGGCUGCAACUGUUUAUUAAAAACACAGCACUGUGCAAACACGAAAGUGGACGUAUACGGUGUGACGCCUGCCCGGUGCCGGAAGGUUAAUUGAUGGGGUUAUCCGUAAGGAGAAGCUCUUGAUCGAAGCCCCGGUAAACGGCGGCCGUAACUAUAACGGUCCUAAGGUAGCGAAAUUCCUUGUCGGGUAAGUUCCGACCUGCACGAAUGGCGUAAUGAUGGCCAGGCUGUCUCCACCCGAGACUCAGUGAAAUUGAACUCGCUGUGAAGAUGCAGUGUACCCGCGGCAAGACGGAAAGACCCCGUGAACCUUUACUAUAGCUUGACACUGAACAUUGAGCCUUGAUGUGUAGGAUAGGUGGGAGGCUUUGAAGCGUGGACGCCAGUCUGCGUGGAGCCAACCUUGAAAUACCACCCUUUAAUGUUUGAUGUUCUAACGUUGGCCCGUUAUCGGGGUUGCGGACAGUGUCUGGUGGGUAGUUUGACUGGGGCGGUCUCCUCCCAAAGAGUAACGGAGGAGCACGAAGGUUAGCUAAUCCUGGUCGGACAUCAGGAGGUUAGUGCAAUGGCAUAAGCUAGCUUGACUGCGAGCGUGACGGCGCGAGCAGGUGCGAAAGCAGGUCAUAGUGAUCCGGUGGUUCUGAAUGGAAGGGCCAUCGCUCAACGGAUAAAAGGUACUCCGGGGAUAACAGGCUGAUACCGCCCAAGAGUUCAUAUCGACGGCGGUGUUUGGCACCUCGAUGUCGGCUCAUCACAUCCUGGGGCUGAAGUAGGUCCCAAGGGUAUGGCUGUUCGCCAUUUAAAGUGGUACGCGAGCUGGGUUUAGAACGUCGUGAGACAGUUCGGUCCCUAUCUGCCGUGGGCGCUGGAGAAUUGAGGGGGGCUGCUCCUAGUACGAGAGGACCGGAGUGGACGCAUCACUGGUGUUCGGGUUGUCAUGCCAAUGGCAUUGCCCGGUAGCUAAAUGCGGAAGAGAUAAGUGCUGAAAGCAUCUAAGCACGAAACUUGCCCCGAGAUGAGUUCUCCCUGAGACUUAAAGUCUCCUGAAGGAACGUUAAAGACGAUGACGUUGAUAGGUCGGGUGUGUAAGCGUAGCGAUACGUUGAGCUAACCGAUACUAAUGAACCGUGAGGCUUAACCUU